rnacentral:tRNA from 1 species
GGUAAGAUGACUGAAUAAUUAGGUGAUAGACUGUAAAUCUAUAAAUGAGGUUAAUAUCUCUCUUACCA